rnacentral:tRNA from 1 species
AAGACUAAAAACUAGGCUGCUAACCUAAAAAUAAUGAAAUCUCAUUUGGUCUUU